rnacentral:telomerase_RNA from 1 species
GGGGCCGGGGCGGCCGGGCGGCCAUUGCUUGCUAACCCUAAACUUAGGAGCGUAGGCGCGUUGCUUUGGGUCCAUGCCCGCUGUUUUUCUCGCUGACUUUCAGCGGGUGAAAAAGGCAAACGGCCUACCGCUCAUCGCCGUUUCGUUUGUAGACAAAAAAAAAAUGUCAGCUGCUGGCCCGCUCGGCUCCCCGGAGCCUGCGCCCGCGAGCCCGCGCCGCCCCCGCGCCCGCCUGAGGCCGCGGUCGGUCGGGGCUCCCCGGGGCGCCCGAUGCCGUCGCGAAGAGUUCGGGCUCUGUCAGCCGCGGGGCCGCGGGGGCUGCGGGCGCGCCUCUCGCAGGCAGAGAAACGGAGGCGACCCUGCACGUGCGCUUCCCUGAGCUGUGGGACCCGCACGGGGCCGGCUCCGACACGC